rnacentral:lncRNA from 1 species
UUUACUCAAAACUUCAAUGAAUCCAAUACAAGGGAGUGGGGUGGGGCCUUUAUAUAAUAAAGGCGAGCCACACAUAAGUAGAAAGUUAAAAAAAAUAAAGCAAAAUUUUAGGACAAUAAUUCUAAAAAUGCUGAAAAGAUUCAAUGGGUUGGCUGAAAAAUGCUAAAAAGAUUCAAUGGGUUGGUUGGCCUUUUCUUCUUUGGCUGGAUUCUCCAAACUAGGUAAAGUUGAAAUCGCGAGUAGAGGAUUUGGAUUGGACGCCUUGGUUGGCCUUUUCUUUUUUGACUGAAUUCUCCAAACUAGGUAUGACUGAGAUCGUGGGUAGAAGAUUUGGAGUAGACGCCUGCAUCACAAUUGAAGCACAGCUCCCAAGCUUUUAGCAUCCAUCAUCUAGACUGAGCAUCAGGGAAAAAGGAAAGAAAUUAGUAUUUUUUUGAGAAUUCAAUAAUCAAUAAUCAUGGAUUUCAAAUAUUGUAGUAGUAUGGUAUGUGCAUGGACUAACUAAAAGUCGAUGAGUUUAUUGGCUUUUAGGGUUUUUUUUUUGUUGCAAAAAACAAUGAAAGUCAAUAAACUUAGUAAAUUGUGCCAACCAGGCUUAGACACCUCUUGUAGUAAGCAAGUCUCUAGUCCAAUAAUAUAUCUUGAAAAAGCAAAAUAAAAUAAAAUGAUAUAAAAAUAUUAACAAGUGAUUCGAAUUUAUAGAUGCCAAAAACUAGGUUUAAUUAUAUUAGGAUAUCAUCAUAAGCCUUUAGAAUACAGUAAUACUAGCUUUUUUAGCAACAAAAUUUAUACAUAAUAUGUUAGGAAUUUCUAUGAUGUAGGGGCGCAACGGAAGUGCGAGAUUUCAAAAAAAAAUUCAUAAUGAAAUUUUGAAACAUCAAAUUCUAAACCCAAGAUCACCUUAAUGGUAACAAUCAAACUUAAAAUAAAUGUAGAAAUAGAAGAAUACCUAUAACGCUAAUUCCAAUAUUCAGAAUUUUCACUAGGCGCCCAAGUGUUCACCCUCCAACGUUGAUCCACACGGAAACUUGCUUUAAGAUUCUAACUCCGAAAGAACUUGAUUCUUGAUGCUGAAUUCUUCCAAAGAAUUCAAUUGGCUUCUAGGCAAAAUAACACUUCUCAAGUGCUUUGCCUUUCUCCCUUUUCUCUUGGCUUCCUUCUCCCUCUUUCUAAUUGUCUUUUUCUUUCUAAUUCUCCUUCCAAGCCUUUUGUCCUAAAGAAAACCUUUUAUCUUAAUUUAGAACAACCUUGGAGAGAGAUGUAAGAAAG